rnacentral:rRNA from 1 species
AACUAACGCUGGCGGCGUGCCUAACACAUGCAAGUCGUACGAGAAAGUUGGCUUCGGCCGAUGAGUAAAGUGGCGCACGGGUGAGUAAUGCGUGGAUAAUCUGCCCUUUAGUUGGGAAUAACGUACCGAAAGGUGCGCUAAUACCUGAUAAUACUGCAUAACUACUGUUGUGUAGUCAAAGAAGGCCUCUGUUUACAAGCUUUUGCUGAAGGAUGAGUCCGCGUACCAUUAGCUGGUUGGUGGGGUAAUGGCCUACCAAGGCUACGAUGGUUAGCUGGUCUGAGAGGAUGAUCAGCCACACUGGGACUGAGACACGGCCCAGACUCCUACGGGAGGCAGCAGUGAGGAAUAUUGGACAAUGGUCGGAAGACUGAUCCAGCCAUGCCGCGUGAAGGUUACUGUCCUAUGGAUAUUAAACUUCUUUUGUAUGAGAGCAAUAAGGUGCACGUGUGCACCGAUGAGAGUAUCAUACGAAU